GAUGAACGCUGGCGGCGUGCCUAAUACAUGCAAGUCGAGCGAACGGACGAGGAGCUUGCUGCUCUGAUGUUAGCGGCGGACGGGUGAGUAACACGUGGAUAACCUACCUAUAAGACUGGGAUAACUUCGAGAAACCGGAGCUAAUACCGGAUGAUAUUUUGAACCGCAUGGUUCAAAAGUGAAAGACGGUCGUGCUGUCACUUAUAGAUGGAUCCGCGCUGCAUUGGCUAGUUGUUAAGGUAACGGCUUACCAAGGCAACGAUGCAUAGCCGACCUGAGAGGGUGAUCGCCGACACUGGAACUGAGACACGGACCAGACGCCUGCGGGAGGCAGCAGUAUGGAAUCUUCCGCAAUGGGCGAGAGUCUGACGGAGCGACGCCGCGUGAGUGAUGAAGGUCCUCCGAUCGUAAAACUCUCUUAUGAGUGAAGAACAGAUGUGUAAGUAACUGUGCACAUCUUGACGGUACCUGAUAAGAAAGCCACGGCUAACUACGUG
rnacentral:rRNA from 1 species